rnacentral:lncRNA from 1 species
GGAAGGGGGUGGGGAAAGAGGGAGGGAGGUGGGAGAGAGAGACCUUUGAUGAUCUAUCCUUUGCAUUCUACUCCUAGCUACUUCCAGAAAGCAUUUGAGGAAGCACCAGUACAGGGAUAAGAGAUGAAGAGACAGGCCAGGUCAGGCUCACCAAGCAGGGCUGGGACCGUCUCUUCUCCCUCCUGUCUUCUACAUGGGAUGGACUCAGGAGCGCUCAACAGAUGCUCUGAAAUCAAUGACUCUGAAUCUAGAAGUCAACCGGAGAAUGUGCUCCUCAGAGGGCCCUGGAAUCUUCCCCUCGUGCACUUGGGUUUCAGUUUGCUGAAUAAGACGGACUCUGCUGCCUGCUCUUCAGAGAAGGUUUUGGUGGAGGACUCCCCUCAGGUGCCCCUGCCUGGAUCCCCCACUGCCCCAGAAGGCUGGCCUUCAGAUGCCUGGGUAGCUGGCUUGCUUGACCCAAGCAUGGACAAGUGAGAACAGAUGAAAGAGGCCAGCAGACCCAGGACCCAGCCCUUUCUCUGCCACCAGCCAGCACUCACUCUGCUGUGUGACCUGAGACCAGGCAGACCAUCUCUCUGGGUCUCAGUUUCCCCCUCUAUAACACCAGGGGCUGGUCUUCAUGAUCCCAGGGCCCUCCCCAGCUGUGCCCAUCUGCAACUGUGAGAUUCUGAGAGCAGAGGAGGGAAGGCGGGAUGGCCCCUCUUUCCCCACCGCCUCUCUCUGUCCCCCAGGGUCACCCCAAAGCCGCCCCCUCCCCCGGCUCCCUGGAACUUCCCUGCAGCUGCAGGCCUGGUGAGACAAUUGGGUGUUUUAGAGAAAUACAUUUUUGGGCUAAUUUGCCAUGCAUAAGUGUUUCUCUUACCCUUUAAAGGCGGAGAACAAAGAGGUCUUUCUGUGCCCAGGCAGGCUGCUGGGGAGG